rnacentral:tRNA from 2 species
GUGGAGCAGUUUGGUAGCUCGCAAAGCUCAUAACCCUGGGGUUACAGGUUCGAU